rnacentral:lncRNA from 1 species
AUCCCUCAGACCCAGUGCUCCAGACCCCCAACCCCUCCUCCCUCAGACUCAGAGGUCCAGGCACCCAACCCCUCCUUCCCCAGACCCAGAGGUCCAGGCUCCAGGCCCUCCUCCCUCAGACCCAGCCUUCCAAAGCCACCUAGACUCUCCCUGUACACAGUGCCCCCUUGUGGCAAGAUGUUGACCCAACCUUACCAGUGUUAGAGUUGGUUUUUCAUUUUUUGUCCCUUUCCCCAGAUCCAGAAAUAAAGUCUAAGAGAAGCGCAGGUUCUGUUUGUAGUGUCCUCCUUGCUUCCCCUUCCAUUCAAGAGAUUCCAGCAAAUGGCUUUUCCUCCAUGGGUCUCAGUUUCCCUAUCUGGGAAAUGGGAGCUUUGACCAGGAGGGCCACGGGGUUUCAGAGGGAGGGGCCAUUCCCUGGGUAGUUAAGAGAAACCAGUGCCAUGGCUGUUGUCCAGUUUCUGAAAAGUCAAGUCAGCAAAUGGUAACUGUAGAGAUUUUCUUGCUUAGUUUAACGAUUCAGCUUCAGUUGAUCUAUAUUUGUUUUUGUCUUCUUAACUGCAUUUCAAGAAUUUUUAACUUGCAUCUGUCUCAGGACUUGGCUGCUGCAGCUGGAGGCUGGAUAGACAUGAACUUGAUCAGUAAUUGUGCCUCAGAUGGUUCUACAAGCAGCCUGGAGGGGUUGCCUCUAAUAACAAAAUGGUGACACCUGGGCCCCUGCAGCACUCCUUGCUCUGAGGAAAAGACAGACAGUUCAGGUCAACUCCAUAGGAUGAUGUCAGACCUCAGUUAGUUGGAUAGAAACAUGUCCAAUCACAGGGAGCAGGCGGGAGGCCCCAGUGGUAGGAAGGGCAGGCCUCUCUCUGUGUUAUACGGACAACUAGUCCCAACGACUUUUCAUGAUUAUCCAGGCAAUGUUUUAUAAAGGUCAGGCGGGAGACUGGCAAGGCGUGUUUUCUGGUCACAACCCUGCUGACCAAAACAAGUUCAGACAGGACAAAAUGUUAAAAAAGAAAAAAAAAAAAACCCAGCAGGAAUGACCAGAUGAAGACAAAAGUGAUCCCUAUCUGCUGUCAUUGCUCAUUGGUAUAGAACACCCUCACCAGUGCCAUGACAGUUUACAAAUGCCACGGCAAUGACCCAAAAAUUACUUCCCCUUUCCAUGGCAAUGACCCAGAAGUUACUUCCCCUUUCCAUGGCAAUGACCCAGAAGUUAACUCCCCUUUUCAUGGCAGUGACCUGGAAGUUACUGCUCC